rnacentral:sRNA from 3 species
UCGAAUCCUGCACGACCCACCAAUCGUUCGGUGGAAACGAGAAUAAAACGUGAAGGAUAACGUUGCGUCAGCAACGGCCCGUAGGGCGAGGCGAAGCCGAGUCAUCCUGCACGACCCACCA